GGGCCCGCACAAGCGGUGGAGCAUGUGGUUUAAUUCGAUGCAACGCGAAGAACCUUACCUACUCUUGACAUCCACAGAAUCUGGUAGAGAUACCUCAGUGCCUUCGGGAACUGUGAGACAGGUGCUGCAUGGCUGUCGUCAGCUCGUGUUGUGAAAUGUUGGUUAAGUCCCGCAACGAGCGCAACCCCUAUCCUUACUUGCCAGCGGGUAAUGCCGGGAACUUUAGGGAGACUGCCGGUGAUAAACCGGAGGAAGGUGGGGACGACGUCAAGUCAUCAUGGCCCUUACAUCCUGGCUACACACGUACUACAAUGCUACGGACAAAGGGCAGCAACUCGCGAGAGCUAGCA
rnacentral:rRNA from 1 species